CCCAGGGCUGGAGGUGGGGGGCUCCCGGAAGGGGGGGCCGCGAUCCCCGCUCGCACGUGGAGGUAGAGUGCAGACGCUCCCCACAGCCAGGGGAGGAUGAAGGACCAGGGUGAGGGGCCGGAAGGGACGUGAGAGGCAGCCGCACACUGUUACCAUUCCAGGCUUGUGUGGGAGAAGACUGUGGUGCGCCUGUGUCUAUCCGCCCGGGCGGCUCCAGCCUCUGGUUAAUAAAAGGACAUGCAGUUUGUUUCCCUUCCCCUUGAGUCUGGAUGGCCUUGAGACUUGCCUUGGCUAACAGAAUGCAGUAAAGUGAUGUCAUUUGACUUUUGGGUCUGGGCCUUAAGAAGCCUUGCAACUUCCAGUUUUACUGUCUUGGAAUCUGGACACCAUUUUUAAGAAGCUUGGACUUCUGGAUGAUGUAAGGACCAUAUGGAGAGAGAGAAGCCUAGCCAGCACCCAACCAUUCCAGCCACUUCACCUGAGAGUGAAGUAUUGCAUCUGAGAAGAUCUGAAGUACUUGGGGCAGCAAACAAGGUUUUAGAGGCUGUUUGGGGAAGGCAAAAGCGAGAGGUGAGGGAGCCAGAAGAGGAUUCUGAAGGGAACCAAAAUAUCCAGUGAGGAAUUCAAGAAGUUUUUGCUUUGUGAUGUGUGAAGUCAGUCCCCUCUCUCUUCCCUCCAACAAAAUCUUCAGAAAGUUACUUCUGUUAUCGCACUGUGGAUCUGUUUUGAGGGACACAUCAAGUGCUGAGUUCUGUUUCAAGGAGGGCUGAGGGUAAGAGCAGAUGCUGUCCAAGGGAGCCUGGCCACUCUAGGAAUACUAAAGAACAAAGGAAAAACUAAGUAAACAAAUGAAUUAAUUAAUUAAUUAAUGAGUGGAUCUUGGAACUCCUGCGAUCCUCCAGUAGCUGAUCAUCAUCCCUGGCAAGGCCUGGAAUCACUUCAGUUCAGUCUCCAGCCAAAUUCUGGAACUGGCCAAUUGGCCGGCUCCAUUUCCUAUCUCUUUUCUAUCCAAACUUUCCUUCUGUUUUCUUUUCCUUCACAUUGUGGGUUUGGGGAUUGAAGUGAUUUCUGUAGCAUGAACUCUUUGUUUAUUCAUUCUUUAAUUUUCUGACGUGUAUUGAAUGCUGUGUUGGGUGUGGGGCCAUGUGUGAUGGGGAAUUCUGAGAAAAGAUGGACUUCACAGUCAGCCAGCGAGAUAAGACUGGACUAUUGUAAGAGGCAGGAAGAAGUAGCUGCCACAGAAGAGACAAAAAUAAAAUGCUGUAACUGUUCAAAGAUGGGGUCUCAGGGGGCACAGUGCAGGAUAGAAGGUUGAGAAAGUCUCAUAGAAAUGGUGACAUCUAAGCCAAGCCUUAAAUUAAGGGUGACAUCUGAACAUGAAGAGAGAAGGAUUUGGGGGUUAGAGAUUGGAUGAGGGGGUAAUUCCUGACCUACCCACGCUGCUUUCCACAUUAACAUGCUGCUGACCUGUGUCCAGGCCCUUCUGGAUCCUUCCUCAGUGCUGUCCCGAGCCAGAGGGGAGAUGCAUUGACAUGUUAAUAAAAGAAAACCAGCCUCAGGCUUUUCCACCCACCGCUGAAGAAACCAAGGUUCUUUUUCAACUGUGACCUUUUGGGAACAGCUCCCCCUACCCUGGUCACCCAGUCAGAGAAGGGAAGAGCUAGAGUUGAAAAGAGCAAUAGGAUGGUACUACCAGAGGCCUGGGAUGUGGGAAGGGAAACUGAGGCCCAGAGAAAGAACAUUGACGCUGUAUUCCCUUAGCAGCACUCAAUGAAUAAAUGAAUUAAUGUAGAUGUCUGUUUGUUGCCCCACUUUGACAGUGAGCUCCUCAAGGGCAUGAGCUGAGUCUUACGCGUCUUGGUGUCCCCAGCACGGGACCUAGAACAUUGUAGGUGUGCAGUAUAUGGUAGCUGAACUAGCAUUCUACUGCCCUGGUAGUGAUUCUCAAUGCAUGGUCUCUGGAGCUGUAGUGUCAGCAUAAGCUGGGGACUUGUUGGAAAUACAAACUCUUGGGGCCUCACCCUAGACCUACUGAAUCAGAAACUCUGGGAGCAGAGUCCACAAAUCAGUGUUUUAGCAACUCCCCUGGGAGAUUCUGAUGCAGGUUAUAGCUUGAGAACCAUUGUUGUAGGAUAUUUGAGCCAAAAGACUUGCUCUGGCUUCCUUCAGCACAUCAAGAACUUACGCUUUUUAUAUACAACAGACACAUCUUUAUACUCCCACCCCCUUUGCCAAAAAAAGAGAAAAGAACAGAAAUGCCACAAAUAUAUUACCAGUGACCAGAAAAAUAUAAAUCAGUAGUGGCAAGUUGUUAUCCUUCCUGAAAAAACAUAAACUUUGCCUGUUAAAAAUACAUUCAGUGGGGCCCAGCCUGGUGGCCAAGUGGUUAAAGUUCUGUUUGCUCUGCUUCGGCAGCCCGGGUUAAUGGGUUUGGAUCCCAGGUGCAGACCUACUCUGCUCACCAGCCAUGCUAUGGAGG